UGCUCAAUGAUUUUUUAAAUUGCUGUAGUAUUUUGACUAUACAAAGGUAUUGAAAUAAGAUUUUAAUUGAAUGCUAAGAGAAUGGAAGUCCAGAAAAAAACUUUUUUUAAAUUAAAAAUUGAAGUUUUUUUAAUUUGUGCAGAAACAAUUAUUUAUAUUAAAGACAAGAAGACCCUAUGAAUUUAUUAAAUUUUUAUUUAAUAUGUAAUUACUAUUAGAAAAAUUUUGGCUGGGGCGGCUAGAAAAUAUUAUGAACUUUUUAAAAAUAAAAUGAUCCUUUAUUAAUGAUUUUAUGUUAAAUACUCUAGGGA
rnacentral:rRNA from 1 species